rnacentral:rRNA from 1 species
UACAGAGGGGGCAAGCGUUGUUCGGAAUUACUGGGCGUAAAGGGCGCGUAGGCGGCCUUCUAAGUCGAACGUGAAAUCCCUGGGCUCAACCCAGGAACUGCGUCCGAUACUGGAAGGCUUGAAUCCGGGAGAGGGAUGCGGAAUUCCAGGUGUAGCGGUGAAAUGCGUAGAUAUCUGGAGGAACACCGGUGGCGAAGGCGGCAGCCUGGACCGGCAUUGACGCUGAGGCGCGAAAGCCAGGGGAGCAAACGGG